UGGUCAAGUUAUUAAGGGUGCAGGGCGGAUGCCUUGGCACUAGGAGCCGAUGAAGGACGUGAUAAGCUGCGAUAAGCUUCGGGGAGUUGCACGUAAACUUUGAUCCGAAGAUUUCCGAAUGAGGAAACUCACUUAGAGUAAUGUCUAAGUAUCAUUAAGUGAAUACAUAGCUUAAUGAGGGGAACUCAGGGAACUGAAACAUCUAAGUACCUGAAGGAAGAGAAAGAAAUUCGAUUCCGUAAGUAGCGGCGAGCGAACGCGGAUUAGCCCAAACUAAUAAAGUUUUCUUUAUUGGGGUUGCGGACAUAUCAUAACGAAGAGGUAUCGUAAUUGAAGAGGUUUGGAAAGACCCACCACAGAAGGUAAUAGUCCUGUAUGUUAAACGAGAAGACUUUAGAUAUGAUCCAGAGUACCACGGGACACGUGAAACCCUGUGGGAAGCAGGAGGGACCACCCUCCAAGGCUAAAUACUACCUAGUGACCGAUAGCGUAUAGUACCGUGAGGGAAAGGUGAAAAGAACCCCGGGAGGGGAGUGAAAUAGAACCUGAAACCCUGCACUUACAAGCUGUGGAAGCACAUUUCUUGUGUGACCGCGUACUUUUUGUAGAACGGGCCAACGAGUUACGUUAAGUAGCAAGGUUAAGCACUUAAGGUGUGGAGCCGUAGCGAAAGCGAGUUUUAACUGAGCGUUCAGUUACUUGACGUAGACCCGAAACCGGGCGACCUACCCAUGAGCAGGAUGAAGCGAAAGUAAAAUUUCGUGGAGGUCCGAACCCACGAGCGUUGAAAAGCUCGGGGAUGACUUGUGGGUAGCGGUGAAAUUCCAAUCGAGCCCGGAGAUAGCUGGUUCUCCCCGAAAUAGCUUUAGGGCUAGCCUCAAGGUGAGAGAUACGGAGGUAGAGCACUGAAUGUCCUAGGGGGUAUUGCACCUACCGAAGACUAUCAAACUCCGAAUGCCGUCAUCUUAUACUUGGGAGUCAGACUGUGGGUGAUAAGAUUCAUAGUCGAAAGGGCAACAGCCCAGAUCGUCAGCUAAGGUCCCUAAAUGUAAGUUAAGUGGUAAAGGAUGUGGGAUUGCACAGACAACCAGGAUGUUGGCUUAGAAGCAGCCACUCAUUCAAAGAGUGCGUAAUAGCUCACUGGUCGAGUGAUCCUGCGCCGAAGAUUUCCGGGGCUAAAACUUACUACCGAAGCUACGGCAUCAGUAAUGAUGGGUAGGGGAGCUUCCCAUACGGGUUGAAGCAUGACCGUAAGGACAUGUGGACAGUAUGGGAGUGAGAAUGUUGGCAUGAGUAGCGAGAUGUGGGUGAGAAUCCCACAGGCCGUAAACCCAAGGUUUCCAGGGGAAGGUUCGUCCGCCCUGGGUUAGUCGGGACCUAAGCUGAGGCCGAAAGGCGUAGGUGAUGGACAACAGGUUGAUAUUCCUGUACUACCGAUAACCGUUUGAGAGAAGGGAUGACACAGUAGGAUAAGCUAAGCACACUGUUGGUUAUGUGUGCCCAAGCAUUGAGGCAGUCAAAGUAGGCAAAUCCGCUUUGAUAAUGCUGGGAUGUGAUGGGGAGCGAAAUUUAGUAGCGAAGUAGCUGAUUUCACACUGUCAAGAAAAGUCUCUAUCGAGGUUAAAGGUACCCGUACCGCAAACCGACACAGGUGGGUGAGGAGAGUAUCCUAAGGCCAGCGAGAGAACUGUUGUUAAGGAACUCGGCAAAAUGACCCCGUAACUUAGGGAUAAGGGGUGCCACCAUCAGGUGGCCGCAGAGAAUAGGCCCAAGCGACUGUUUACCAAAAACAUAGGUUUCUGCUAAGUCGCAAGACGAUGUAUAGGAGCUGACGCCUGCCCGGUGCUGGAAGGUUAAGGGGAUCUGUUAGAGCAAUCGAAGCAGUGAACUUAAGCCCCAGUAAACGGCGGCCGUAACUAUAACGGUCCUAAGGUAGCGAAAUUCCUUGUCGGGUAAGUUCCGACCCGCACGAAAGGCGUAACGAUUUGGGCACUGUCUCAACAACAGACUCGGUGAAAUUGUAAUUCCGGUGAAGAUGCCGGAUACCUGCGACAGGACGGAAAGACCCCAUGGAGCUUUACUGUAGCUUGACAUUGGGUCUUGGUACUACAUGUACAGGAUAGGUGGGAGGCUUUGAAACCAGGACGCCAGUUUUGGCGGAGCCAUCCUUGGGAUACCACCCUUGUAGUACUGGGACUCUAACCAUAGGCCAUGAAUCUGGUCUUGGGACACUGUCAGGUGGGCAGUUUGACUGGGGCGGUCGCCUCCCAAAAGGUAACGGAGGCGCUCAAAGGUUCUCUCAGUACGGUCGGAAAUCGUACGUAGAGUGUAAAGGCAAAAGAGAGCUUGAUUGCAAGACAUACAGGUCGAGCAAGGAUGAAAAUCGGACUUAGUGAUCCGGUGGUUCUGCGUGGAAGGGCCAUCGCUCAACGGAUAAAAGCUACCCUGGGGAUAACAGGCUUAUCUCCCCCAAGAGUCCACAUCGACGGGGAGGUUUGGCACCUCGAUGUCGGCUCAUCACAUCCUGGGGCUGUAGUAGGUCCCAAGGGUUGGGCUGUUCGCCCAUUAAAGUGGUACGCGAGCUGGGUUCAGAACGUCGUGAGACAGUUCGGUCCCUAUCCGUCGCAGGCGUAGGAAAUUUGAGAAGACCUGUCCUUAGUACGAGAGGACCGGGAUGGACGUACCUCUGGUGUACCAGUUGUCCUGCCAAGGGCAUGGCUGGGUAGCUAUGUACGGAAUGGAUAAGCGCUGAAAGCAUCUAAGCGCGAAGCCAACUUCAAGAUAAGAUUUCCCACCGCAAGGGUAAGACCCCAGAAAGACUAUCUGGUUGAUAGGUCGAAGGUGUAAGUGCAGCAAUGUAUUUAGCUUAUCGAUACUAAUAGGUCGAGGACUUGACCAAU
rnacentral:rRNA from 1 species